rnacentral:lncRNA from 1 species
UGAAGAUGCUGGAUUGCAGCUCCCUUGGAAUUUGCUUCCUCAGAUAUCCUAGCAAUAACAGUCUGGAUGAUGGAAGGAUUACAGACAGACAGAUGUUGUUUAAAACAGCAAAGAAAGAAUAUCCACAAGACAGCCUGUCAAUUUGCAACCAACUGAUCCCACAGCACUCGGCCACAUCUCGUCUUCGCCUUGCAAAAGAAAUGGAACCACCUCUGGGAUGGAAAGCAACAGCUUACAGCACGCAGCAGUACUACACAACAGAGGCAACAGAGUGUAUCCAACAACAGCUGAAGUAUGAUCCUCAUCAAAGCAAUCAUUUUCCUUCAUGGGAGAAGAAUGAGAGAAAACAGAUAUCAUGGUGUAUACCUUAAGGACACAGUGGUGAUGUGGUUCACAAGCAUGUAAGACUACUCCAAGCAACCGUGGAAAUGGAGGAUGGUAUCCUAUGUGAAACGUCUUACAUUUCAGCUGCUUAGAUGAGGGGUAAAGAAAGUAGAGAUUCUUCUAUUGCUUCCCAACAGCGAAGAAGUGAGGAAGGAAGAAGCAAUGAUGAAUGAAGAUGCAGAGAGCAUCUCAUGACGCCAUAACCUUGCAUUGCAGUAUAUCUGCUUUGUGACACUGCCUAGUCCCAAUACAAAAUUGUAUAAUGUUACAACAACACUACGAUACAACCGUUGCAACAUAAUGUGCCAAGAUGGUGUGGCUCUCUCCAUUUUAUAUUGACUGAAGAGAGAACAGAAUAUGCCCAUGUGUUUCUAAUAAAGACAUCAAUAACUGCA